rnacentral:tRNA from 1 species
AGGGAUAUAGCUUAGUGGUAGAGCACUUGCCUAGCAUGUCAGAGGCCCUGGGUUCAGUUCCUAGUAUUCGUG